UGGGGAAUAUUGCACAAUGGGCGCAAGCCUGAUGCAGCCAUGCCGCGUGUAUGAAGAAGGCCUUCGGGUUGUAAAGUACUUUCAGCGAGGAGGAAGGCGUUGUGGUUAAUAACCGCAACGAUUGACGUUACUCGCAGAAGAAGCACCGGCUAACUCCGUGCCAGCAGCCGCGGUAAUACGGAGGGUGCAAGCGUUAAUCGGAAUUACUGGGCGUAAAGCGCACGCAGGCGGUCUGUCAAGUCGGAUGUGAAAUCCCCUGGCUCAACCUGGGAACUGCAUCCGAAACUGGCAGGCUAGAGUCUUGUAGAGGGGGGUAGAAUUCCAGGUGUAGCGGUGAAAUGCGUAGAGAUCUGGAGGAAUACCGGUGGCGAAGGCGGCCCCCUGGACAAAGACUGACGCUCAGGUGCGAAAGCGUGGGGAGCAAACA
rnacentral:rRNA from 1 species